rnacentral:snoRNA from 1 species
UGCUGUGAUGAGUAAGCAAUAUUUCUGACACCUCUUGUACGAGGGGAGCGCUAUGCGCUUCCCGUUGAACGGAGACGCUUCAUUCUGAGCA